rnacentral:tRNA from 3 species
UCCUCCAUAGUUCAGUUGGUAGAACGGCGGACUGUUAAUCCGUAUGUCGCUGGUUCGAGUCCAGCUGGAGGAGCCA